UACAGAGGUCCCAAGCGUUGUUCGGAUUCAUUGGGCGUAAAGGGUGCGUAGGCGGCGCGGUAAGUCGGGUGUGAAAUCUCGGAGCUUAACCCCGAAACUGCAUUCGAUACUGCCGUGCUUGAGGACUGGAGAGGAGACUGGAAUUUACGGUGUAGCGGUGAAAUGCGUAGAUAUCAGGAGGAACACCGGUGGCGAAGGCGGGUCUCUGGGCCGAUACUGACGCUGAGGAGCGAAAGCGUGGGGAGCGAACAGG
rnacentral:rRNA from 1 species